GUAUUCUAAGGCGCUUGAGAGAACUCAGGAGAAGGAACUCGGCAAAUUGACACCGUAACUUCGGAAGAAGGUGUGCCUUUAGUAGGUGAAGUCCCUGCGGAUGGAGCCCAAUGAGGUUGCAAAAAAUCGGUGGCUGCGACUGUUUAAUAAAAACACGGCACUCUGCAAACACGAAAGUGGACGUAUAGGGUGUGACGCCUGCCCGGUGCUGGAAGAUUUAAUGAUGGGGUGCAAGCUCUUGAUUGAAGUCCCAGUAAACGGCGGCCGUAACAAUAACGGUCCUAAGGUAGCGAAAUUCCUUGUCGGGUAAGUUCCGACCUGCACGAAUGGCGUAACGAUGGCCACACUGUCUCCUCCUGAGACUCAGCGAAGUUGAAAUGUUUGUGAUGAUGCAAUCUCCCCGCGGAAAGACGGAAAGACCCCAUGAACCUUUACUGUAGCUUUGUAUUGGACUUUGAACGGAUCUGUGUAGGAUAGGUGGGAGGCUUUGAAGCAGGGUCGCUAGAUCUUGUGGAGCCAACGUUGAAAUACCACCCUGGUGCGUUUGAGGUUCUAACCUAGGUCCAUUAUCUGGAUCGGGGACAGUGCAUGGUAGGCAGUUUGACUGGGGCGGUCUCCUCCCAAAGCGUAACGGAGGAGUUCGAAGGUACGCUAGUUACGGUCGGACAUCGUGACGAUAGUGCAAUGGCAUAAGCGUGCUUAACUGCGAGACUGACAAGUCGAGCAGAUGCGAAAGCAGGACAUAGUGAUCCGGUGGUUCUGUAUGGAAGGGCCAUCGCUCAACGGAUAAAAGGUACUCUGGGGAUAACAGGCUGAUACCGCCCAAGAGUUCAUAUCGACGGCGGUGUUUGGCACCUCGAUGUCGGCUCAUCUCAUCCUGGGGCUGUAGCCGGUCCCAAGGGUAUGGCUGUUCGCCAUUUAAAGAGGUACGUGAGCUGGGUUUAAAACGUCGUGAGACAGUUUGGUCCCUAUCUUCCGUGGGCGCUGCAGAUUUGAGAAAGCCUGCUCCUAGUACGAGAGGACCGGAGUGGACGCACCUCUGGUGUAUCGGUUGUCACGCCAGUGGCAUUGCCGAGUAGCUAAGUGCGGAAGAGAUAACCGCUGAAAGCAUCUAAGCGGGAAACUCGUUUCAAGAUGAGAUCUGCCGGGGCCUUGAGCCCCCUAAAGAGUCGUUCAAGACCAGGACGUUGAUAGGUCAGGUGUGGAAGCGCAGUAAUGCGUUAAGCUAACUGAUACUAAUUGCUCGUGCGGCUUGACCAA
rnacentral:rRNA from 1 species